UACAGAGGUCUCAAGCGUUUGUUCGGAUUCAUUGGGCGUAAAGGGUGCGUAGGCGGCGCGGUAAGUCGGGUGUGAAAUCUUGGAGCUUAACUCCGAAACUGCAUUCGAUACUGCCGUGCUUGAGGACUGGAGAGGAGACUGGAAUUUACGGUGUAGCGGUGAAAUGCGUAGAUAUCGUAAGGAAGACCAGUGGCGAAGGCGGGGUC
rnacentral:rRNA from 1 species